rnacentral:rRNA from 1 species
UAUGAAUGAUCUUACUUGUUUUGUUUAUAUUUAUUUUAGAGAAAUAUCUUUUUUUUUAGUAUAAUUAAAGAACAAAGGAUUAGAAGUUAUAGUUAAUUAGUACUGUAAAGGAAUAUGAUGAAAUAUAUUGAAAAUUUUUAAUUUUUAUAAGUAGACUUGAUUUGUUGUACCUUUUGUAUCAGGGUUGAUUAAUUAUUUUUAAUUUAUUAAUUAUUUUCUCGAUUUCAGAAGAGCUAAAACCAGUUAAAAUUAAUGUGGCAUAAUUAUAGUUUAACUGGGUUUUAGGGGAGAAAUUCUAUUCGAUUUUAAAGGUAUCUAGUUUUUCAAGAAUUAAAUUUAAUUUAGGCUUAUAUUUUAAUGAAUUAAUUUAUUUAAUUUUUUAUGGAUAUGAUGCUAAUAUUUUAGGGGAUAAGCUCUAAUUUACUUUUAAAAAUACUAUAUUGGGUUAAUUUAUGUAGGAUUUAUACCGUUCAUCAAUAAAAAGUUCGUUAUAGUUUAUUUUGAUUUGUUAUGAUUUUUUUUUAUUUUAGUAGAUUAUUGAAAUAUUAUUUAUAAUUUUAUAAAAUUUGUAGUAAUGAUUAAAUUAGUAUAUUAGUAUGUUUACUAUUAUUUAUAGUGGUAUGAUUAAAUAAGGAACUCGGCAAAUAUAACGCUCGCCUGUUUAUCAAAAACAUGGCCUCUUGUUAUGUAUAUGAGGUCAGACCUGCCCGGUGAAUGUGUUUUAACGGCCGCGGUAUAUUGACUGUGCAAAGGUAGCAUAAUCAUUAGUCUUUUAAUAGGAGGCUGGUAUGAAGGGUUUAACGAGGUGUUGACUGUCUCAUUUAAUUUAAUAUUAAAAUUUAACUUUUCAGUCAAAAGGCUGAAAUAUUAUUGGGGGACGAGAAGACCCUAUAGAGCUUUAUAGCUUAUGUUAUAAUUAAUUUUGGAUAUAUAAUUGUUAUUUAUGGCUUUGGCUAUUUUGUUGGGGUGACAAAAAUAUAUAAUUAACUUUUUGAUUUAUAUAACAUUGAUUUAUGUUUAUUAGAUCCAUUCAUUAUUGAUUGUUAAAACAAGUUACCUUAGGGAUAACAGCGUAAUCUUCCUCUAGAGUUCAUAUUCACGGGGAGGCUUGCGACCUCGAUGUUGGAUUAAGAUAAUAAUUAGGUGCAUCCGCUUAAUGGNUAGGUCUGUUCGACCUUUAAAUUCUUACAU